GCUGUAAACGAUGUCGAUUUGGAGGUUGUGCCCUUGAGGCGUGGCUUCCGGAGCUAACGCGUUAAAUCGACCGCCUGGGGAGUACGGCCGCAAGGUUAAAACUCAAAUGAAUUGACGGGGGCCCGCACAAGCGGUGGAGCAUGUGGUUUAAUUCGAUGCAACGCGAAGAACCUUACCUGGUCUUGACAUCCACAGAAGUUUCCAGAGAUGGGAAUGUGCCUUCGGGAACUGUGAGACAGGUGCUGCAUGGCUGUCGUCAGCUCGUGUUGUGAAAUGUUGGGUUAAGUCCCGCAACGAGCGCAACCCUUAUCCUUUGUUGCCAGCGGUCCGGCCGGGAACUCAAAGGAGACUGCCAGUGAUAAACUGGAGGAAGGUGGGGAUGACGUCAAGUCAUCAUGGCCCUUACGACCAGGGCUACACACGUGCUACAAUGGCGCAUACAAAGAGAAGCGACCUCGCGAGAGCAAGCGGACCUCAUAAAGUGCGUCGUAGUCCGGAUUGGAGUCUGCAACUCGACUCCAUGAAGUCGGAAUCGCUAGUAAUCGUGAAUCAGAAUGUCACGGUGAAUACGUUCCCGGGCCUUGUACACACCGCCCGUCACANCCAUGGGAGUGGGUUGCAAAAGAAGUAGGUAGCUAA
rnacentral:rRNA from 1 species